GCUGCCGGCCGGGGGCGCUGUCCUCAGGGCGGAUGGCGGCUCGGACCGCGCCCGCCUGGCGCUGCCCCCGCCAGAUGAAGGCAGUGCAGGGGGCAGCGUUUUCCGGUGGACUCAGCGCCAAGCUGCUUCUCUCCGAAUUGUGCCGGGGGAAGCAGCCUUCAUCCCCACCGAAGGGCACAAAACACUCUCGGAAGUGGCAGAAGCAGAAAGAAAGUAGCAAAAGCAACUAGACAUGCAACCAUGGCGAACCGUGACCGCGUUGCAGCCUGUCCCCUACUGCGCUGCUGCAGGAGCUCAGCGGUGGCGCCACAGGUGUCACACAGAGAGGCCCCUGGAGCCCCUGCAGCUUGACUCUGCCCACGAGCCAACAGGGAGAUGCUUCUUCUUAUCACCCUCAUUGCUCUGACUGUGGCUGGAGUCCCAGCCCCACCUCUGCCCUCUCACCUCUCUGGGAGCAGGCGAGAGAUCAUCUGCCCAAGAGAGGACGCCUUUCCAGGGAGGAGCGCACCGAGGGGGCCCUGCCAGCCCCUGGGGUCCUCACCUUGCCUUCUUCAAGCAGGGACAGGACGGCCUUGAAGGAGGGAGCAGUGACCAUGCUGGCUCAGACUGCAGAGCUGCGGCCAUCUGUGACUUGGAGGAUGAGAACCCCAGUGCCAUCACAAAAAAUCUGCUCUUCCAUUUGCAGAAUACUAACAUUCCUCAGUGGCAUAAACAGUCAGUGCUGGGUUCAUUCCCUUCCUUGCCUUACGGUGUUUUUUUUUUCAAAACCUCUUGUUUGUAUAAAAUGAUUCACACCCUGGAAUUGACUACAGGGAACCCUCUCCCUGCCGCCUGUCCUCUGGAUAAAACUGAGUCUCGGGUCUGGGAGGGCACCGCAGCGGAGCUGGAUUGCUGCCCCACACCCCGGGGGGGGGUUAUUCAACCUCUCUCUCUCAGACUGUUUUGAAGCAUCAGCAAAGUCCCACCUUUCCCUAG
ensembl:lncRNA